rnacentral:rRNA from 1 species
AUUGAACGCUGGCGGCAGGCCUAACACAUGCAAGUCGAGCGGAUGAAGGGAGCUUGCUCCUGGAUUCAGCGGCGGACGGGUGAGUAAUGCCUAAGAAUCUGCCUGGUAGUGGGGGAUAACGUCCGGAAACGGGCGCUAAUACCGCAUACGUCCUGAGGGAGAAAGUGGGGGAUCUUCGGACCUCACGCUAUCAGAUGAGCCUAGGUCGGAUUAGCUAGUUGGUGGGGUAAAGGCCUACCAAGGCGACGAUCCGUAACUGGUCUGAGAGGAUGAUCAGUCACACUGGAACUGAGACACGGUCCAGACUCCUACGGGAGGCAGCAGUGGGGAAUAUUGGACAAUGGGCGAAAGCCUGAUCCAGCCAUGCCGCGUGUGUGAAGAAGGUCCUCGGAUUGUAAAGCACUUUAAGUUGGGAGGAAGGGCAGUAAGUUAAUACCUUGCUGUUUUGACGUUACCAACAGAAUAAGCACCGGCUAACUUCGUG